GACGAACGCUGGCGGCGUGCUUAACACAUGCAAGUCGAACGGAAAGGCCCUGCUUUUGUGGGGUGCUCGAGUGGCGAACGGGUGAGUAACACGUGAGUAACCUGCCCUUGACUUUGGGAUAACUUCAGGAAACUGGGGCUAAUACCGGAUAGGAGCUCCUGCUGCAUGGUGGGGGUUGGAAAGUUUCGGCGGUUGGGGAUGGACUCGCGGCUUAUCAGCUUGUUGGUGGGGUAGUGGCUUACCAAGGCUUUGACGGGUAGCCGGCCUGAGAGGGUGACCGGCCACAUUGGGACUGAGAUACGGCCCAGACGCCUACGGGAGGCAGCAGUGGGGAAUAUGGCACAAUGGGCGGAAGCCUGAUGCAGCAACGCCGCGUGCGGGAUGACGGCCUUCGGGUUGUAAACCGCUUUCGCCUGUGACGAAGCGUGAGUGACGGUAAUGGGUAAAGAAGCACCGGCUAACUACGU
rnacentral:rRNA from 1 species